rfam:Loxodonta africana unplaced genomic scaffold scaffold_4, whole genome shotgun sequence.
GCCUUGGUGGCUCAGUGGCUAAAGCGCUUGGCUGCUAACCAAAAGGUUGGCAGUUUGAACCCACCAGGCG